GGUUGAACCACCAGUUCCGUGCGUUCCAGUUUGGAGAUCUUGUUGGCUUUCAAAUUCAUAUCCGUGCAUUAAAAAUCAAGCAGCUAUCGAUUCACUAAACACUGCGAAUAAUGAUACCAUUGGGAAGAAAAUUAUAUUUCAAGGCAAAACCUACUUUGUGUCAUAUGAAGACAAAAAUAAAGAUCGGAACCCGGUUGAUGCAUAUCUGCAUUGCUGCAAGCUUGGAAUGCGACUGUUCGAACCUCAAACCUUAUCUGAUCUUUCUAUCGCCCAAGAAUUAAUUGACAUCUAUGGAGACAUGAAUAUGGGUACUCUCCUGCUGGGCGACACGGAAUUCAUCAGCAAAACGCACGAGGUUUGGUGCAGCAGCAGGACCUUGGUUCCAGACGACAUGUUCGACCCUGAUCCGACCAAAAGGUACCCUUGCGCUGAGUCGAUUGUCGGUUUUUACGGAUAUGAUACGUUGGAAACACCAUAUUAUGCAACAAAAGAAAUCUCAGACAUUCACUUCUAUUACAAAAAUGUAAAUAAUCCAGAAUUUCAAGGAGUUUUUGCUGGGCUCUUUGC